rnacentral:rRNA from 1 species
ACGGCGAGUGAAGCGGCAACAGCUCAAAUUUGAAAUCUGGCCCUUUUAGGGUCCGAGUUGUAAUUUGCAGAGGGCGCUUUGGCGUUGGCAGCGGUUCAAGUUCCUUGGAACAGGACGUCACAGAGGGUGAGAAUCCCGUACGUGGUCGCUAGCCUUCGCCGUGUAAAGCCUCUUCGACGAGUCGAGUUGUUUGGGAAUGCAGCUCUAAAUGGGAGGUAAAUUUCUUCUAAAGCUAAAUACUGGCCAGAGACCGAUAGCGCACAAGUAGAGUGAUCGAAAGAUGAAAAGCACUUUGGAAAGAGAGUCAAAUAGCACGUGAAAUUGUUAAAAGGGAAGCGCUUGCAGCCAGACUUGCCCGUAGUUGCUCAUCCAGGCUUUUGCCUGGUGCACUCUUCUAUGGGCAGGCCAGCAUCAGUUUGGGCGGCUGGAUAAAGGUCUCUAUCACGUACCUCCUUUCGGGGAGGCCUUAUAGGGGAGACGACAUGCAGCCAGCCUGGACUGAGGUCCGCGCAUUCGCUAGGAUGCUGGCGUAAUGGCUGUAAGCGGCCCGUCUUGAAACACGGACCAAGGAGUCUAACAUCUAUGCGAGUGUUUGGGUGUCAAGCCCGAACGCGCAAUGAAAGUGAACGGAGGUGGGAACCCUUAAGGGUGCACCAUCGACCGAUCCUGAUGUCUUCGGAAGGAUUUGAGUAAGAGCAUAGCUGUUGGGACCCGAAAGAUGGUGAACUAUGCUUGAAUAGGGUGAAGCCAGAGGAAACUCUGGUGGAGGCUCGCAGCGGUUCUGACGUGCAAAUCGAUCGUCAAAUUUGGGCAUAGGGGCGAAAG